ACGGCCUACCAAGUCGACGAUCAGUAGCCGGGUUGAGAGACUGACCGGCCACAUUGGGACUGAGAUACGGCCCAGACUCCUACGGGAGGCAGCAGUGGGGAAUAUUGGGCAAUGGGCGCAAGCCUGACCCAGCAACGCCGCGUGAAGGAUGAAGGCUUUCGGGUUGUAAACUUCUGUUCUUAGUGAAGAUAGUGACGGUAGCUAAGGAGCAAGCCACGGCUAACUAC
rnacentral:rRNA from 1 species